UUAAUAAGACAACGAGGAAAGACUUUAUGUAAGAAUAUUCAUGCACGAGAUUUCAAAAAUAGACAAGAGAUCACGUUGAAUGAAGAAGGACAACCAAUUGGACCAGAUGAAAAGAGAGUGGCUGAACUUAGUAGUUUUUUGGGGACAAUAGCAAGAAGUGCAGAUUUAUGUCCUCUUACCUUCAAUAAUUGGAAGGCUUUGGUUAAGACUUGGAAGGAUGAAGAAAUCGAUCCAGUCUGGGAAUAUGUCAAUGAAAAAUACAUCAUCCCAGAGAAAGGAAAGAAGGAUGUAUUUGAUAUUGUAAGUGAUGCUUGGAGACGAUACAAAUACUUGAUUAAAAAGAAUCAUUUUACCAAGUACAAAACCAUGCGCGAGCGGUUAAAAAAUCGUCCAGAAGAGGUACCGGAAGAAGACUUUAAGAAGUUAUUGGUGUAUUGGAGAGAUAAAAACAGUCAAUCUGCAAAAUGCUCAAAAUAUUGCUCAACUGAAAUGGAGACAUCGAACGGGCAAUAAAGCCUUUGCUGUUAUAAGAGAAAAAAUGUGUGUAAGUAAUGAAGAUAAAGAGCCUCCCAGUCAAGCGGAAAUGUUCAUUGCUACACGUCAAAGUAAGAAAGGAAAAGAGCUGGAUCAAGAAACCAAUACUGCAAUUAUAAAGCUUCAAGACUUAAUUGAGAAACAUGGGAAGCCUUCUGAAGAAGCCUUUCAAAGUGUAUGCGGCAAAGAAAAACUUGGUAGACUUCGUUGCCAUGG